AUGAAAGCACAAGCAUUGGCCGACCAUUUGGAUGAGAAUCCUGUGGAGGAGGAAUACGAACCUUUGAAGACUUACUUCCCCGAUGAAGAGGUAAUGCACAUUGAUGAGUUGGAACAGAUUGAAAGGCCAUGAUGGAAACGUUUCUUUGAUGGGGCUGCUAACAUGAAAGGCGUUGGGAUAAGAGCGAUACUUGUUUCUGAAACAGGGCAUCAUUACCCUGUUACGGCUCAGCUUCGGUUCUACUGUACUAACAACAUGACUGAGUACGAGGCAUGCAUUUUGGGUUUGAGGAGCAUAGAAACAAAACUAAUGAAAUAAUAGCGAACAAACAAAUUCUUCUCAAACUCAUCUUAUUAAUACUUAUACAAAAUUCAAAAAAAAUACUACAAACUAAAGGUGAAGAGAAACAAGUUCAUUCAUUAAAGGAAGUAUUGAAUCAUUUUCAACAAAUUUACGUGAUUAGCUACUAACAUUCAAACACAAAGUAAUAUAUCAAUGAGUAACAACUAUUUAUCUCAUAAAAAUAUCUAAGGAAAUACAUAGCAAAAAGAAACUAACGAAAUAAAGGAGAAUUAGAAAUAAACCUUGAAUAGCUUUCCUGUUGGCAAAACUUUUACAGCAACAAUCAAAAUUUUUACAGCAACAAUCAUUUGAGGUGAACAGAGAUCGAAAUCGGCGCAGGAAACCUCAGACACAACCUCGACGGCAAAGCAACAACACUGGAACCUCGCCGGCGACGGAAGCGCGACAAUUCGAUGUCACAGCUGAAUUCACCGGAGAAGGAAAUGAAGAAAAAGCACCCGCCGGAGCGUGGAGUGAACUCGCCGAAGAAGACGUCGAAUUGAGAGUACUAUUUAAUCGAUCGGAAUUUUGAUUCUCCUUUUCGCAGUAGGUUUAUUUUCGGCCAGUCCAAACUCGUUUAAAGGAAUGGGGGUUGUCGUGUAUUGCGUCUGAUUGUGUAUCCUUUUGAUCUUUUUUCGCUUUUGUUCGCUGCUUCUUCUAAUUUGUCAAGAAGACAAUGAAAGGGGUGGUCGUGUUGUUCAGCAGCUGAAAAGCUGAAGAAGACGAUUCAGGGGUCGUUCUUUUUUGGUUUUCGGCGCUCAGCCUUUUUUUUUCCCUAGGUUUAAGGUGCUAAAGAAGAUGACUCCGUUGGCUGUAGCGGCUGAUUCUCUAAGUGUAGUGUACGGUUAUUUUAAGACUAGUUUUGGUUAUAUAGAAGUUUUUUUUUAGGUCAAGAGUAUGUGCCUAUGAAUUAUGAGCUUGGGGAUUAUGGGCUAGGUCCAAAAUUAGGCCUAAAAAUGGGUUGCUUUAGCCCAAGUUUUAUUCUUUCAUUGCGAACGAGAUUAAAA
rnacentral:lncRNA from 1 species